UACGUAGGGGGCAAGCGUUGUCCGGAAUCAUUGGGCGUAAAGAGCGUGUAGGCGGCCUGAUAAGUCGGUUGUGAAAGUCAAGGGCUCAACCCUUGAAUGCCGACCGAUACUGUCAGGCUAGAGUCCGGAAGAGGCGAGUGGAAUUCCUGGUGUAGCGGUGAAAUGCGCAGAUAUCAGGAGGAACACCUAUGGCGAAGGCAGCUCGCUGGGACGGUACUGACGCUGAGACGCGAAAGCGUGGGGAGCGAACAGG
rnacentral:rRNA from 2 species